UACGGAGGGGGCUAGCGUUGUCCGGAAUUAUUGGGCGUAAAGAGCUCGUAGGCGGUCUGUCGCGUCGGCUGUGAAACCCGAGGCUCAACCUCGGGCCUGCAGUCGAUACGGGCAAACUAGAGUACUGCAGGGGAGACUGGAAUUCCUGGUGUAGCGGUGAAAUGCGCAGAUAUCAGGAGGAACACCGGUGGCGAAGGCGGGUCUCUGGGCAGUGAACUGACGCUGGAGGAG
rnacentral:rRNA from 1 species